AUGUUCCAACGUUUAACUAAAGCUUCAUGCCGAAUGCCUUAUAAUAUUACUUUUCAGCCAUGCCUUGCUAGUUGGCUUCAAGUUCACACUUCUUUUGAGGGCCAAUCCCAGUGUGCGCAAAGAGGGUUCAUUAUGAAUUACACCAAAAUAAUUGAAUCUUCCAAACCAUUCUCCCCUUUAUGCCCUAUAAGAACAAACUUACUGCAUUCUUCUAACAUCUAG
rnacentral:lncRNA from 1 species